rnacentral:lncRNA from 1 species
GCCCGGCCUUAAACACGUUGUUUAAUACAGCCUCACUCAUGGUUUCCUGAGGCAUCUGAAGAAUGAAACACCUCAGGGAAGACAGAGAAGAGGUCACGUGAACACACCAAAAAGAUGGCCAUUGUCCAUGAGCUGGAAAGAGAGCCCUCACCAGAACCCAGCCAUCCUGCACCCUGAUCAUGGACUUCUAGCCUCGAGAAUUGUGAGAAAAUAAAUCUCUGUUAUUUGA